CCACCUGGCUCGGUCGGUAGAGCACACCCUUGGCAAGGGUGAGGUCGCAGGUUCGAUUCCUGCGGGUGAG
rnacentral:tRNA from 1 species